AUUUAUACUUCUGUGUAUCUUAUAAGUACUGGCAUACAACAACAUUUUCUGUGUCAAAGAGUUCUGCCCUUCCUCAUCACUUACAACAUCUUCACUCUUGAGGGGCUCUUCUUCCACCUGCCCAUCAUCAACUCCAUCUUUCUCUUCCUCCUCCUCAUCAUCACAGUCUUCAUCUCCAUCUUCCUCAGGAGAUGUAUGCCCUGUUCCAUCAACUUGCAGCACAACAGAGCUUGCUGUUGGGCAGGCUGGGCCUGUGGCUGCUGCUGUCCAGCUGCAGGCAUCUGUGCUUGUGCUGCUGUGGGUGCUGCCAUGGUUGUAGGAAUGACCUGAGGCUUAUUUCCUAUAAAUAAGAUUUGCUGUGGCUGGAUGAUGACGCCUGUCUGUAGUGACAUCCCUCCAGGAAGUGGGGUAGGACCUGCUGGAUAACAGGCACUUGUACUCCACCAGGCUGCAUUUGUGGUAUAGCUUGUAGAACAAAUGACUGCUCAGGCUGAAAGAUACACUGGGCACCAUUGGCUGCUCUGACCACCUGAAGCAGCUGGCCUGAAGUUGUUAGUCUCUGUUGAACAGGAGUUACGCCGGCAGCACUCGUAAUACUUGAUGGAUUCCUAUGUUGUAUCAAUUUAGGAACAGUAACUUGUGGUGCUAUAGCUUGCUGUGAUGCAGGAAUAAGAACCUGCUGGGUCUGUGCUUGCUGAUGCUGUGCUGGCUGAUGGUGGUGGAGAUGCGAUGCUGAUGCUGAUGCUGGGCUCGCUGAUGGUGGUGGUGAUGCUGCUGCUGAACUUGCAACAAAAGCUGCUCUUCUUCCAAUGAAAUCCAUCCACUGCCCUAGACUACAUUACUUUAUUCUCUCACAAAGUUUUUAGUUCCAUCAGGACCUGUUCCUCCACUCCAUCACCCAGAAAAAAAUGUCUCGUACGUCAUUAAUAACAUCUUCAAUCACAGAUCUAUACAAUUUAGGCACAGUAUUUGUGUUUGCCGAGUUUGCAAUUUCCACACACAACACAAACAAGGGGGAGCAAGAUAUAAAGAAAAAAAAGAAAGAAAAAGAAAAGGAAAAAAACUGAGACCCAAGUCACCUGCAAGAGUGGGGCAAAAAUUUCUCAAUAAAACCUAUCCAGAAGGAGUAAGAGGCAGGAGACCAGGAGGGAGGGGGACACUCCUCCCACAGCUCAAACCUUGAGAAUUGCAAGCCAUCUCCAAGAUGGACUUUUAUAUUUCUUAAGGGUGUAUUGACUCAGGAGGCCAAAGUAUUAUCUAUUGGAAGUAGGAACAUUGUUUGCUCAAGGCUCCAAGUUGAUAUGAAUAGCAAUAUGCAAUGCUAAUUAGGUAAACCCUACAGACAGGGCACAUCUGCAUGUGUGUUUAUGUAUAAAUAAAUUAAAAUGAACUCUAAAAUUAUAUAUGAAAAAACCAUUGGAGGACUGUUGGGAUAAUUUUAAUCAGUAAUGCUGUGUGUAAUUGGGCUAUUAAGUGUUAGCAUAUCCUUUUACGGUUAUUAUAGUAGUGGAAAGAUUUACUCCAAUCUAGUGCUUGAAUCUACCUCAGAAUAUAUUUUGACAUAGGACAUUUAAAUGAAAUCUUGAAAAUGAACCUUGAAACUCUCGUCAACUUUCAGAAAUGGAAUUGAGCGAUAAGUCUAAUGGAUCCUAAAGUGUGAGGAUUAGUAUUGAAGUCAGUAAUCUGAAUCAAGGAUUAUAGAUUUGUACACUAUUAGCAAAGAAGUAUUGUAGAAUUACUUCGACCUCAACAGUAUCUGCCUUUAAAUAAUAUGUUUCAUAUGGGAAUAGUAAAAUGCUACCAAAGUAGAACAAAAAUUAGUGAGCAGGUGUUAUAAGAAUUUCAGGAAAUAAACAUCAUACAAACCAGUCUUUAAAGGAGAGAUACUUACAGGAGGUACUCAAAACACUGAUGUAGUCAUAUCAAGUCAAAAGAGCCAGCUUGAAGGAGUCUGCAUUGGCAAAAUUUGGGGACAAUUUGACCAGGAAAAGAAUAAUGGGAGUUGGGAGUAUACUUGGUGGUAAGACUGCUUGCCUAGUAUGUUUGAGGACUUGGAUUCAAUUUCGAAUAAUAAAUAAACCCCACAAAAGCGUAAUGAAGGUAAUGCAACAUCAGAAAGAAAUGCACCUGUGGAAGAGGCGAGGCUUGAGUGAAGUGGUACUCUGUGUGCUUGGGAGGAAGAGGAAGAGGGAUUUGUGAGUUCAAGGCCAUCGUCAGCCAUGGUUCAGGGCCAGGUUUGGGGGAGGGGAGCAUUAGGAUUACAGGCUACCUCUUACCUUCUGCCUCCUGCCUCUCUUGUCUUUGCUUGUUCUCUUCUUUUUCAAAUCUGGAGACAGGGAUUUUUUUUUUUUAACAUCAAUGUGAUGAGUGAACC
rnacentral:lncRNA from 1 species